GGGGGAAGCUGGAGUGGAGGUGCGCCAGCGCGGAGCGCUGCUCGGCGAGGAUCCUGACGCGGUCCUUCCAUGGAAGCCCCUUGGAGAGCCCAUCCAUGAGCGUGCCAUUGGGGAGGUGCUCGUAAAUGAGGAUGCAUGAUUCCUGGCACACGCCAAUCAGCCUCACGAUGUGUGGGUGCUCGGUUCUGCUCAGUACCACAACCUGGAGAGUUCCAAACAUGAUUCAGGAGAUGCCUCUCCAAGCAGACAGCCUCUUCAGAAAUAUUUCUGGCACUCUGUAUCUCAUCAGAUUUAUCAGCACCCUCUUCGGAAAAAAUCUCCACCUCCUCACAAGCAUUUGAUUCCUCGACGCCUUGUUCAGCUUCCUGCACAUCGAAAAGGCGCUCGAGGUGCCAUCUUCAUUAAGCUCAAAUGCAUAGUACAACAUUUUGCAAGAGAGAGCAAGGGUUGUACAAAAUCCUGGAUAUUGUUUCUGUAUGUGUGGGCAACCUUAAAGAGUGAGUAGGUAGAAUUUCUGAAUGCACAUGUUUUAGUAGUUGUCUUGAAAGCAAAACGAAGGUGAGUUAUUACCUUUGCUGAUUGAUCAGCACCAUCCAUUUGAAUAACCCCAUCCCCAUUGAUGAUAUCAUCUGCCUGAAAUGAGACAUACUUGAGAAUACGCCACGAGUUAGGACCAAAACUUUGAACCAUAGUCAUGAACUUGUAAACUGAAACAGUUAUUAUUUGCAUAUGUUUAAUGCUCUUUUGGAUAAAAAUGUGUGUAAUGCUUUACUAAAAGGUUACUUACAAAAUCACUUGGUGGUGUUGUGUAUCCAUCAGAUUCGUCGCUCAGCUGAGUCAGCUCAUGUAUAGACGCCAACAAAUCGGAGCUCCCUCUAUAUCCAAUGCUUCCCGUAUGUUUCAGAUAAUCAUUACUGCACUUAGGAAUGAUCUCAUCCAUCAAGUAAUUACUGGAUUUGAUCCAGAUGUCUCCAGUUAUGGACUUAAGACAAACUAUACCUAGUGGACAUGUAUUUUCCAUUGAGCACCACCCAAACCUGACAGCAUUUGCGAAGCUCUUCUUGCUUUGCCAUUUUCCUGCAUAACUUGCUUCAGUGUUAUACAGUUAUAUGCGCUAAGGUACUAUUAAAUUUUUUUUAAGUAUACAUGGAUUGACCAACCUUCUCCAUCAGUUCAGGCUUUUGUUUCUACUGGUUGGUGCAUGAAACUUAAUAUGGCAUCAGAGCCAAGACUCAAAUUCAAGGCCUGGACAACACACUAUUAAAUAGAAAUAGUUGCAGCCUACAUCGAUCGCACGUCCAAGGCCUGGAGCAGCCUAGAAGUGAGGGAGAGUGCCCUCCCUCCUCUCCAUCAGUUCGUUCUUCGGUCUUUUGGGUGAAGUGGCUGGUCCAUGAACUUACUAUGGUAUCAAUGCCAUGAGGUCUUGUGUUCAAGUCUCAGUUUUUGCAGUUUAAAUAAAAAAUUGCUUGCACUCUUUCUGUCCAUGUUAGGCCUUAUCGAGCCACAUGUGAGAGGGGGUGAUGAAGUUCGGACUUUUGGUUCUACUGGUUUAUGCAUGAAACUUAAUACAUUUAUUGUGUACAUGUUACAUCAAGUAACAUAUAUCAAGAGGGAAUGCUCUUUUUUGGGGAUGAGUUCAUUUAAGAUCUCACCUUGAACCGAUGACAAUUCUCUUUAUUUUGAGCUUCUUUAUCAGGUUUACAAGACCAACGAGAAUGUCAUCGUGUGUGAUGUAAUGUGCCUUAACCUGCAAAGAUACAUGCCCUGUUUAUGAAACAUGUCUUCUCUGAAAUAGCAGAACCUGAACCAUAGAAGCCUCACCUCAAACACGAAAAGGUGAAGAUAUCUGGAAGUGGUCCAAAAGGCUAACGAAAGUACCUAAUUGUGCUGCACCACUUUUCAUCAACCCAGAGGCAUCUUUUCCCUUUUGUGCCUUUGCUCUUCCUAGGAAGUGUCAGCUCAUAGAAGGCCUGAAGGAGAGGCAAUGAUGGUGGUUUUAAAUAGUGGCCUUGGAUUUGGUCUUCCUCUGACUGUAUCCAGCAGCAGUGAGCACACUAUCAGGAAAACUUGUCUGAUUCGGGUGAAAUUUCCGUGAAAUUUCCACUACUUCCAAGGAACUGCUGUACAUGCCUGCCCCUCGUUGACUGACUUUUGAUGUGUAGCAACAAAGUCGUCCAAUUAGAUGGUGAUCAUCCCAUCUCCCUGGCCGGCAAUGCCCAUCAAAGGGUUGCUUUCAAGAUGCGUAAAUGUUGUCCAGCACAUAUAGUUUUGAUAUGAUUAGAUGUAUGCGAUAAUGUUCGUUUUCUGCAGGUGGCUUUCACACAAUUCUUGCUCUCAGGCUGUCAAUAUAGUAAUGUACAUCAAGGCAUUUCCUGUUUCCUAAAGCAUCUGAUGAUUAGCAUAUACUAGGAUUAUACUUUGAACUACAAUACGUGAAGAGGGGUGCAGCUUUGGAUGAUUGGAAUCUCCGUCUGACUCAUUUGGACGGAAGUGCUUGUUGAGAAAUUGCAGGCUUUCAGGAAUACAGUAUCCCAGUGUGAGGACAGAGCGACCGGAAGGUAGGUUAGGAAGUAUGCAGUCCUGACACAGUGAUAUGUCAAAGAUGAAUUGGACUCUUGCUAAAAAUCAAGGUCCAGAUCGGAUAGAUCGCGACUUCAAGGCAAAUGAAGUUUCAUGCUGGUUACCAGCUUCUGAAGGACCAAUAUAUAAUAGAUUGUGCUGCCAAUUUGGUCAGUCAUUGGAGACAAGGACAUCGUACCUUUUGAAUUUGGUAUUGUUCAACACGGAGGAUCUGUGUCAUUGACAAGAAAAUAAAAUAAGCUGAUCAUAGGUCAUUGAAGUUUGAUUGCUUGAUCAUUUUGGACUUUCGGAAUAGACAGAUCGAUGAUGCAAAUAUUAGAUUUUCAAACUGGAUGUAACAUGUAAAAUGACACUGUACCAUAUAUGCUUGUAAAUAAUUGAUAGUUCCAUGCUGAUAUGCACUUUUCAUUCAUCCUGGAACAUCGACAUUCAGAGGCCAAUCAAUACC